AUAGCCCUGGAUAAAGUCUGUCUGGCCGUGUUAACAAGCAUCAUGAGUGGCCUUUUCUGUGACAGCAUGCCCUGAGCAGGCGGAAUAGCAGAGCUGAGGAUGGAGGCGGUGCUCGUGACCAUGGAGGGGCGGGCGGGGUGGGACGGGAGCUCAGCAGGGCAAAGGAUCUGCUGGCAGAGGAGCACAGAAACAGUAAAGCUGCCGUUCAGGAGGCUCAGAGCCCUGGGACCCAUCACAGGAUUGCUCUCCUGCCCCUCAUUUUCUCCACGCCCCACCGGCCUCGGCGCAGUGUUGGUGGCUAGACGACAAGGGGCCCCAGCGCUUCCCUGGAGGGCUGGCCUGCGCCAUCGUUGGGGGCUCCCCCAGCCACUUGCCCUUCUCCUUCAGGAAUCUCAGGGCUUCCAGGGAUCCCUAAUACAGCUCCUCCAGGUCCUGCAGGUAAGUGACACCACGGGCAAGGUGGUUCCCCUCUCGGUGCCUGCUUCCCUCAUCCUCACUAAUGGGGACGAGAACAAAUUCUGCCCUCUGGGGCUGUCCUGAGAAUCCACACAGUGACAGUGAUUCCCCAGGGCUCAGCAGCAGCCAGUCUGCUCCCCUGUCCCUGGGGAUGUGCGGCAAGGUCUGGAGACAGUUUUGGUUGUACGACUUUGUGGGGAGGGUCCUACUGUUUGCAUCUAGCGGGUGGAGAUCAGAGAUGCCACUCAACAUCCUCCAGUGCACAGGACGGCCCCACAGCAAAGUCAUCUGGCCCCAAAUGUCAGUGGUGCUGAGGUUGGGAAAUCCUGAUCAAAUUCGACCAAUACUAGCCGUGACUGUCAUCUUCCUUCUGAAUCCCCGGGGACCUCCCGGCGGGGGCCCAGAACCAGCAUUCAGGCCAGCACCGCUUGGUUUCUGAGGAGCUUUCCUCAAGUCCCCUCGGUCCUGUCUCACAGCAUCCCUGCGAGGGAGGGCGUAUUCUCCUCACUUUAUUUUUUCACGAUUUAAAAGAAAAUGUUCAAACCCACAGAAAAGUUGAAAAGACAAGAACAGUGAACACCUGCAGCCCUUCAUUGGGUUUACAGACUGUUAACUCUUGUUGAUUUGCCUGUGUACUCUCUCUCUCCACACACACAUAGUGGGGAACAUAUUAUAUUUAUCUUUUACUAAUAAAAAUUUAUGUUUUUACUAAUCCAUUUAUUUUUCACUAAUCCAUUUGAAAUUAUAGUCAGCACACGCCACCCCCAAGGACUCAGCAUGUAUUUCCUGAGAAUAAGGACAUUCUCCACAUUGCCACAACCCAGGGAAGUUUAACGUCAGUCCCACACCAUCAACUGAGAGAUGGUCCAUGUUCAAAUUUCUCUCAUUGUCCCGAAACGUCUCAUAGCUCUUGUCUCAAAUGUUUUGCCUGCUGGGUUUUUUUUCCUUUCCCUUUUUGGAAGUGUGGGUCCAUUGUCCGGCAGCAGGUUCCCUGUUCUGGAUUUGUCUGAUUGCUUCCCCAUGACAGGAUUCAGGUUAAAGGUCUUUGCUGAGAAGCCGCAGAGUGAACUUGAACUUUGCACCAUAUGGAGCGAGGAGGCUGCUGUUGGCCUGUCUCCAGGGUCAUCAGAGAUGCUCGGGGUGACCACCUGGUCCAGGCAGGACCGCGGGGCCCAUCGAUAUUCAAGGCAUCGUCUUCCCUUUGUAUUUGGCGGGGGCCGCCUCACCCAGGAAGUUACGCAUCCCCACAGUGGGACAGCCAGUGGUCAGCGACUGACCGACAAAGGAUACAAAAGAUCAGCUGCCGUGGCAAUUGUUCCAGGCUGAUGAUACUGUUCUGCAUCUUGACAGAAGAGCAUUUUGAAGCCCGAUGCCUCCAUAGGGACAUUUGGAGACAGAAAAGCAGGAGUGGAAGAGAAAGCCGAGCGCAGCGGAGGGAUGCUACAUAAAGGCAACGGUGACCAUGGACAGAGGGCUCCCUCCCGUGCCAGGCACGAUCUGUCACCUGGAGCUUCUCACCUAGUUUUGCAAUAACCACAUGGGGUGUGGUGUCACGUCCACUUCACAGGUGAGGAAUCAAGCAUCUUACCCAAGACCUGACAGGUAACAAGUGGCAGAGGUAGAACGCCCUGAGGCUGGCAACUUCCUUGCGCUACCAUAGAAAGAGGGUCCCUAUUUAUUUCCCCUGGAUGUCCCCAAACAAAGGCGUGACAUUCCAAGAGAGCCACUCCCCUCUUCUGGCCAAGAGCCAUGGCUGCGAACCACUGAGGAGUGGAAGGGAGUCCCUGGCACCACCCUUUGCCCCCUCCCAUGCCCACCUCUCCCUCCCCACCCCAUCCAGCAGGCCCCGGCCUUGCCCUGGGUCAGGCUCCUCCUCUUGCUGAGGGUCUCCCUGCUCAGAGCAUCGUGCCUGCCUCCCCAUCACCUCACAGCACAGUCUGGCCAAAGCAGAACAAGCUGGGGGCGGGGGGCCGUCUCUCCUCCCCGCACCUGCAGACUUGGAGGACGAGGCCCCAUCGUACUCAUUUUGUACAAUGGCAGCUCUCACUUCAACAGGCAAAGGGCGGUUUUGAGGAAUGUGUCAUGGUUCCGUAGAGGUUGAGCUCAGGGGAGCUGGGUGAAGGGUCCGUGAAAACUCUCUACUGUCUUUGCCACUUUUAUUUAAAUCUGAAGUUAUUCAAAAUUAAAAGUUUAUGAAAAGAAAGAAAAAGGCAGAAUUCAGUGAAGACUGAAGCAGCCCAGGGAGCCGCAGCCCACGGAGGACGGGCUCCAGCCACAUGGAUGUUGCCCGACCAGCUUUCCCAAGGCUCCGGAGUGGGACGGAGCGGAGCGGCAGAGGAAGAGCCCAAGAAACGCAGUGUCCAACCCAGGCAGGGACUCCAGCCAGAUUCAUGGGGUGGAAAAUGGGAUAUUUGCUAGCGCACGAGACACGUUUGGACAGAACUUAUUACAGAAACUUUCACACAUGGGCCAAGUAGAGAGCUGGGUAUCAUGGGCCUCAUGCACCUGUGAGCAGCACCUGUGAGGCCCGCAUGUGUCCUGAGGGGGCUGCUUCUGGGAGCAGGUUAGGGGAAUGGGGGUCUGUUAAUAGAAGCAACACCACUUCACCCUUCUCAUUAGACCUUUUAAACCAUGGCGAGGAGGUGGGGCAGGAAAUCCCCUUGCUCUCGCCAGCCCCUUGCUGUGUGAGGUGGGGCACGCUGCUCUCUGGGUCUCACCUGCCUCAGCUGGAAAUGAGGGGCUUGACCUAGAUGCUUUCCAGACCCCAAAGACAUGUCCAAAGCUGAAUUCGUUACUGGCCCCUACACCUGCUCUGGCUCCCAGGUCCCCAUCUCAGCCAAUGGCACCGCUAUCCACCCAGUUACUCAGACCAGGAACCUGGGUGUCAUUCAGACUGUUCCCCGCUUUUCACCCCUAGUCUCCUCAGUCACACAAAGAUUCUGCCCUUUCUGCCUCCUAAAUGUUUUCCACCGUGGCCAUCUUAAUCCCUGCCCCAUCCUUGUCAUCAUCAUCUCUUCUGCCUACUGCACUGGUCCCAGCCUCCCAUUGCAUCCUUAUUCUUCUUCCAUGCUGGAGCCAUGUCCAGUGGAGAUCACACUUACAUUUACAUUAAGAUGCGGACCUUGAUGCCCAAACUUCCAUCUGCUCAGUGUGAAGGAAGGUCUAUUUCCCCAAAUGUUUCUGAGAUUCUCUGUGAGCAUUUACACCCCUGAAAGCCAGUCUCCUUGACAACUCUGUGAGGGACAAAUUUGACUAUGCACCUGCUGGUCUCGCUGGGUUGAGUGUUGUGGCUGCUAUGGGUGACCGAGUGGGGGUCCACACCGCCUGGACAGUAGCUCCCUUGGGGCGCCUCCGCUGUCUGUGUCCCCACUCUUGUCACUUCUGUCCUCAUGGAGCUCUGAUGGCUGAUCAGGCCCGCUGAAUAGCAAGAGCGAGCAUGUUCCUCUGCUCCCGGGGCCCCACAGCCAAGCCGCCUGGGCCCUGAGUGAUACGCCCCUUUAAUUCACCCCCUCCAUUCUCCAGGGCUGCCUGCCUGGAUGCCAGGUCCCCUCAGACGACUUUCCAGGGGCCUGGGGAGGACGUUUCCAGGGGCCUCCUUUACUCACCUACCAUGUGACCUCUAUUAGGGGUGCCUAUGUCUCUGUGGGCAACAAAACACGGAAUGCCAGGGCCCUCCCAGCCGUUCGGUCCAGCAGUGGUGGGGUGGGCAGGGCUGGCAGGGGCGAUGUCUUGCUCCUGGCUGGCAGCCCUGCGCUCAGGCUUCCACACAGACACCACAUGGAGGAAACACGCCCAGCGGCGCCCGCGCCUGCCCUCCUCCCGCCUCUCACCACAGCUCCUCCAGAGACAGGAUGGGCAGCCACAUCCCUGCGGGCAUGCACCUGGGCAGGGGCAGGGCACAGAGGCAGCGCCAGCGAGAACCUGUCCUUACCGGAUCUGCUUGCUUGCAGAUGCCAGGGUUCCUCUGUCAUGCUGGGCUGAACACCUGGGAGGGGGAUCUGCUCCUGACGCCCCAGGCGUGGGAUGGGCAAAGGCAGGCAUCACUCACAUUUGUGGGAGGGAGGCUGGGCUGGCCUCUGUUCCCAGUGUCCACACGGGCAGGCUGACCUUCACUCCCGGCUCCUUGUACCCAAGGGAAGCAGGCUGUUCCACCUCCUCCUGUGAAAAUGACCCAUCCAGGUAGCAGGUCAAGCAUUUAGUCCACAAACUUUCACGAAGCCCCAAUUCCUCCAGGCACAGGUGGAGGCAUGGGACCCACUCCAGUAAACAGCAGGCUUGUUACACCACUUCACCAAGCUUUUAUUUCAUUUUUAUAAGCUUUUAGAAUAGAGCGGGGAGAAAGGCAAACCAGUGGAGGAGAACGACAUUGAGAACGGCCUGCGGAUGGCGGCUGGGCAGCGCCGGGUCUGAAGGUCAGGCUUCCCAACUUGAACAAGCUGAGAAGCCAGUGGGGUCACAUCUGCUCCUUUGUGGCCCAUAUUAUUAAAGCAGGACGAGAUGGGAUGACCACACCAGAAUCGCUGAGAGAGGAGACGUGGCAGCAGGUCAGGUUCUCUGAGCGGCUCUCCAAGGAGGUACCACCGUCUCCUCAGUUCAUCUGUGCUCUCCGGCAAGUCCAAAGUCACCCUCAGAACACCGAGGCUGGACACAACUCCCCCGUGCGCCUGCGGGGCCACACCUUCUCAAGUCCCACGAGCCCGAUCAGGAGGGGAUACUGUCUGCUUUGUCCUUUUUGUUGCAAUACAAUCUCACAGUCUCAGGGAAGAUGCAAGAAUUGCGCAAAAAAAGAACUCUCAUGUCCCCUUCCCCAGAUUCUCCCAUCAAUAACAUUUGCUUUCUCUCUCUCUCUAAACACAGAUAAAUAAAGAUGCAAGAUAGAAAAAGAGAGAGAGGUUUUUUCCCCUGCGCCGUCGUAGAUUAGGUCGCGGAAACCACACCUCUUCACUAAAUAUCUUUGCUUGAUAUCUCAGAGUAUUUCCUAAGAACAAGGACUUUGUCUUAUGUAAUCACAGCACAAUUUUCAAUAUCUGGAAAUGUAACGUGAACAUGGGACUACUACGGAACUCCCAGUUCACACUUACAUUUUGCCAAUUGUCCCCCCAGGCCGGGGUCAAAUCCAGGACCACGUUUUGCACUUACCUGCCAUGUCACUUUAGUCUCCUUUCACCUGCCUUUCUUUGUCUUUCAUGAUUCUAAGUUUUUUGGUAAGAGAACAGGCAGGUUAUUCAGAAUGUCCCAUAAUCUGCAUUUAUUUUACGGGUCCUCAGAAUUACAUUCGAGUUAUGCAUUUUUGUCAAGGAUACUACAGAAGGGAUGUAUAUUUGUUUCUUGUUGCUGCUGUAACAAAUGACUGCAAACUUACCGGCUUAGAAAAACACGAAUUUCUUAUUUUACAGUUUGGGAGGUCAGCCGUCUGACAUGGGUCUCACCGGUUAAAGUCAAAGUGUGACAGGGCUGCGUUCGUUCUGGAGGCUGUAGGGAGAAUCCAUUUCCUUGUCUUUCGGAGGUGCCCACAUACCUUGGCUGGUGGCCCCUUCCUCCAUCUUCAAAGUCAGCAUUGCAGCAUCUUAGAAUCUCUGACUCUUCUGCUAACCUCUUCUAUCUUUUAAGGAUCCUUCUUUUACAUUGGGCCCACCCAGAUAAUCCAGAAUAAUCUCCCUGUCUGAAGAUCCUUAAUUUAAUCUCAUCCGCAAAGACGUGAGAUAACAUCUUCACAGGUUCUGAGUAUCGGGGUGUGGACGUCUCUGGAGGGUCACUAUUCAUCACGUGAUGUUUGUCAUUCUUAGGGAUCACUUCAGGAGGCCUGUGAUGUCAGUCUGUCCCCGUUAUUGGUGACGGUAACUUUGAUAUUUGGUUCUGGCUGUAUUUGCAGGAUUAAUCCACUGUAAUCUAUUUUUACUUUUGUAAAAGUAUUUUUACUUUUGUAAUUUGUAAUUUUACAGUAAACGUGAGGAAGGAACUUUGAAACUGUGUAAAUAUCCUGUUCCUGGUCUCUACCAGAUCGAGCCUCCACUGAUGGCUCCUGCCUGAAUCGAUUAUUGCUGAGAAUCUUGCAAAAUGAUUCUGCAUUUCCACAUUACUUUCUACAGUUAUUACUUAGCAUUUUAUGUAAGGGAGAGCUUUGUCUCCUCCACUGCUUUAUUCAUUUCUUUCAUUGAUGGACUCAAGGAUUCCUUAUUCCAUGAACAUUCUGUUAUUAACGUUAUUUAUUUUGAUGUUCAAAUUGUCCCAGAUUUAGCCAGUGAAACCCCCUUCAAGCUGACUCCUGCAUGCUUUUAACAAGCCCCUGUCGUUUUUUGAAGACUUCCUUGUUUUCUGGCAUAAGAUGUUACAGGCUCACCUUGUUCUUGUCCUGCCCAGCCCUAGCAAUCACUCAUUUCCCCAAAGGGCUCUUUCCUUUUUGUGUAAAAUGGUACUUAGAAACCAAGAUCUGGGUGCUGGCUGUGCUCAUUGUUUUUGGAGUAUUUUUGCUUCUAGCCCUUUUCAGAGGACAGAUCCGAAAAGUAUAAAUAAAAAUAUGUAAGAAUAGUAGACACACAUAUCUAUACCUAUUUCUCCAGCUAUCUAUGUAUCAAUCAAAAACCAUGAGUUCACGCUGAUACCUUCAAUUCUAGCUCUGGGUCCACUCUAGCCUUCUGUCUUUCCAUAUUUGUAACUUGUUUCUCUGAGAGUGACAAACCCAACUCCCAUCAUCCUCAGUCUAUUUUCUUCUGGCUCAUUCCUACAAAUCACAGAAAAUAGUUUCAGAAUUGCCAUCCCACACCACUGCCAAAAGCGGAGGUCAAUAUUUAUCUGCAGUCCUGCUGUUCGUAGCCUGGAGGAUAUACAGCCAAAGUCUUGUGUUCCAAAGCCCCCCCUCACUAUGGUUAUGUCAUUAAUUUGAAAUACAGUUCGGUUCAUUUGUUUCUGCUUAUGUUCCACUAUAAGUUUUU